rnacentral:lncRNA from 1 species
GAAUGCGAAAUAUUGGGUUAAGGAGGAUGUUGAUAAGUAACCCAAUAUUUUUGAUUAGUUUAGAUUUAUUUCUGUCAAGUUUAUCUCUUAAUAUUUUGUUGGUUAGACAUAAGAGAUAAGUUUAAAUUUGGUUCAGUUAUUGUUAUUAGGAUUUUGAUUUAUUCAUAUAUAUAGACGAUUGUAAAUAUGUGGAAAAUAAUCCACCAUCAAAAUUUACUCCAAGAAUAUUUAAUAAAGAUUUAGUUUUAUACUCCUCUCCUUCCAACAAAGAUUAAUUCAACUGAUAGCUAGCGAAAAAAUAUUAUGAUUUGAUAAAAUCAAACCAAAAAUUUUAGAGAACUUUUAAACUGAAAUUUCAUGAAGAAACUAGCAAAUUUUUUAGUCUCACAAGAAGCGUAUAUAAUAGAAAGAAAAUAUAAGAUGGAUAAAAAUACACACCUUCA